rnacentral:lncRNA from 1 species
UUACGUCUUUGAGAGACCCUCUCCACCUGAGCUGAGAAGUAGAUAGACAUUCAUUAGAUUUGGGAUCUUAAUCUACAUUUUAUAAAAUAUAAUUACAUUUUUUUUUAAGAGGGACCAAGGGAGAAAACAAAAGACAAAAUUAAAGUAACUUUUCAGGACACUUGACAUUUUCAUUUUACAGUGAAUAAUAAUACAAAAGUAAUAUAAAAAAUAUGAAAUAAUCAUAAUAACUAAAAUAGCUAUAGAUCACUGCUAGGCCUCAGAAGCUAGAGAAAGUACCUGAAUAGAGUGAGAGCAGUGUUAUCUUAAUUCCCUGAGGAUGUCUGGGUAACGUAGUGUCUGGGCUGAGGAUGUCUGGGUAACGUAGUGUCUGGGCUGAGGGUGUCUGGGUAACGUAGUGUCUGGGUGACGUAGUGUCUGGGCUGAGGGUGUCUGGGUGACGUAGUGUCUGGGUAACGUAGUGUCUGGGCUGAGGGUGUCUGGGUUACGUAGUGUCUGGGCUGAGGGUGUCUGGGUAAUGUAGUGUCUGGGUAAUGUAGUGUCUUGUCCGUGAGGCAGAGAGUGGGUGAUAUAAUUCUUUCUAUAGAAAGCAUUGAAGGGUGCAUUCAGAACUGCAACGCUUCGGCCUUGCACUAUUAAACCAGUGUCAGUGUUGCAAAAACGUUAAAAAGAGCACUGAUAGUUCUGUGUUGCAAACGCAGCUCAGGCUACAGUAUGGUUGGAGGGCACAGGCUUCACAGGCCCGAUAAUAGGAAACUAAAAGCAUUUCACACCGUCAAGCAGCAACACAUACAGGCACUCACACACUCCCAAUUGUUUCAUUUUUUUUUACUUUAAAGAAGGAAAAAGUUAUUCUGAAAAGAGCUUUAGCAAAAAAACACUACGAGAGCGGUUGCAGCGACAAAAACAAACCUUAAGUGCACCUCUUUCUCGAAAAGGAUGGCUUCUUUCGAGGGCAAAUAUUUCAUAUUUAAACAUUGGAAUCUGUCUUGCGUACAUUCCACUUUCGUAAAACAACUGCCCGCUCCAGCAAAAAUCUGUUACAAUGUAUGUACACUGGCAUGCAAAAAAUAUCCAACCAAUCUGAAUCCUUGUGUUGAUCCAAUUGGACUCUGAUUGGACACUGAAGGAGGUAUAUCAAGUGACAUCCCUGAAUGCAUGUCCUUCCUUCCUUCCUUCCUUCCUUCCUUCCUUCCUUCCUUCCUUCUUCCUUCCUUCCUUCCUUCCUUCCUUCCUUCCUUCCUUCCUUCUU